GAUCAUGGCUCAGGACGAACGCUGGCGGCGCGCCUAACACAUGCAAGUCGAACGGAGCUAUUUUGGAAAAACCCUUCGGGGUGACUCUGGCUUAGCUUAGUGGCGGACGGGUGAGUAACACGUGAGCAACCUGCCUCUCAGAGGGGGAUAACGUUUGGAAACGAACGCUAAUACCGCAUAACAUAUCGAGGCCGCAUGGCUUUGGUAUCAAAGGAGUAAUCCGCUGAGAGAUGGGCUCGCGUCCG
rnacentral:rRNA from 1 species